AUUGAUCUCAUAAAUAACUUAAUCAAAAACUAUUAAAAACAAAUACUCACCAAAAAUUUAAAAACACUCUGGGAUAUGUUUAAAUCAGGGGCAAGAACUGCAACUCUUUCUACUGCAAACAAAAAUAAUCUGAAAAUAAAAAUAAUAUAAAAAAUUUAGAAAUAAAAUUAAGAAAGCUAAAUGAGAAAACAAUUGCAAGCCAAAUUAUUAAAAAAGAAAUUAAAACCAUUGAAAAUGAACUUGAACACUUCUAUUUAAAUAAAGUUAAAGGUGGACAAAUAAGAUCUAGAGUACAAUGGCUAGAAGAAGGAGAGAAAAAAACUAAAUAUUUCCUAGGCCUCGAAAAAUCAAGACAAACAAAAAAAGCAUUACAGCGCUCAAAAAUAAACAAGGGAAAAUAGUAACAGACUCCGCAGAAAUCCUAAACAUAGAAAGAUCAUACUAUGAAAAUUUAUAUAAAAGCAC
rnacentral:lncRNA from 1 species